CCCCCAAAAUGCCCCAAAUUCCCCCAAAAAUCUCAAAAUUCCACCCGAAAAUUUCAAAUUUCCCCCCAAAACCCCAAAUUUUCCCCCUAAAUCCCCCAAAUUCUUCCCAAAAAUCCCCAAAAUUCCCCAAUAAUCCCCAAAAUUCCUCCCAAGUAUUUCAAAUUUUCCCCCAAAAUCUCAAAAUUCCGCCCAAAAAUUUGAAAUUUCCCCCCGAAAAUCUCAAAAUCCUCCCCAAAAUCCCCAGAUUUCCACCCAAAAAUCCCCAAAAAUUUCAGAUUUCUCCCCCAAACCCCCAAAUUUCCACCCAAAAAGCCCCAAAAUCCCCCGAUUUCCCCCCAAAAUCCCGAACCUGCGUCCGCCGCCGCCUCCGGCUCCCCAAAAUCCCGUCGGGGCCCCUCCCCCACCCAGGAAACCGCGGCCGCCGUGGGGCAGGAAAUGUGUGGGGUGGGGGAGGGGCGGAGAGAGACGCCGAGAAAAAUUUGGGGGGGUCUGGAAUUUAUUGGGGGGGUCCGGGACCCCCAAAUGUGGGGCUGGGGUCCCAAAUGUGGGGCUGGGACCCCCAAAUGUGGGGCUGGGGUCAGUUGGUCACUCCUGGUCACUCUGGGGUCACUCUGAGGUCACUUUGGGGUCACUCCUGGUCAUUUUGGGGUCAUUUUGGGGUCACUCAGUGGUCACUCAGACGCUUGGGUGGUCACUCUGGUGGUCACUCGGUCACUCCUGGGUGGUCACUCCCAACUGGUCACUCUGGUGGUCACUUGGAGACUUUGGUGGUCACUCCAGGGUGGUCACUCCAG
rnacentral:lncRNA from 1 species